rnacentral:lncRNA from 1 species
AUUAAGAAUGUACUUUAAUUAAUUUGAAACUUAAACAAUAAUCAAUUGAACAAUGAUCUAUGAAUAACCGAUGAUGAAUCUAUUUUGGAAAAGCAGUGGAAUUAGCCUGUUUCUUUAUAAUUGUUUUUAAGUUUUCUAUUUGUUUUACAACAACCUUUGAACAUCCUCACUUUUGUUCUUAAGCAUUGCAUAGCAUUCAUAAGUUUCAAAUAUUCGAAAGCAAUUCCGUGUUCAUUGG